rnacentral:rRNA from 1 species
CCUACGGGUGGCAGCAGUGAGGAAUAUUGGUCAAUGGACGAGAGUCUGAACCAGCCAAGUAGCGUGCAGGAUGACUGCCCUAUGGGUUGUAAACUUCUUUUAUAUGGGAAUAAAAUGUUACACGUGUGGGAUUUUGUAUGUACCAUAUGAAUAAGGAUCGGCUAACUCCGUGCCAGCAGCCGCGGUAAUACGGAGGAUCCAAGCGUUAUCCGGAUUUAUUGGGUUUAAAGGGAGCGUAGGGGGAUUGUUAAGUCAGUGGUGAAAGUUUGCGGCUCAACCGGAAAAUUGCAGUUGAAACUGGUGAUAUUGAGUACAGUAGAGGUAGGCGGAAUGCGUGGUGUAGCGGUGAAAUGCUUAGAGAUCACGAAGAACACCGAUUGCGAAGGCAGCUCACCGGACUGCAACUGACACUGAGGCACGAAAGCGUGGGGAUCAAACAGGAUUAGAUACCCUUGUAGUC